UUUUGAUUGAUUUAGUUGAUUUUUUGUUUUAAUUUUUAGUUAUAAUGGAGUGAUUUCGAAGCUAUUGAAUGACUCAUGUUGAUUAGUUUUAUUUAGCAGUAGGAAAUUAUUUGAUUUGAUUUCAAAUAAAUUGAAAUGUGUGUGAACUUAGGGUUUAUAGUAUUUGGGGUUAAUUUGGGUGAAACAUAAAUUUAUGAUUGUUUCAUAAAUUGAUAGAUUGAUUUAAUUGUGUUUAUGGUUUGUAGAAUGUAUUUGAAAUUUGUAAAACUACAAAGCAUGUCAACAAUUUUGUUUUGAGCAUUGGUCAUAGAGUUCGAGGAUUAACUCAUUUGUGGUUUUGAGUUGAUGUUGAGAGGAUUGUAUGGUUGAAAAUGAUGUUGUCAAUAUGCUUUUGUUGGAGGUUUUCGUUAGAGCAUUUUGCAAUUAGUUUGAUGAUUAACUCAAUUAUUGUUUUGAGUUGAUGUUUAGAUGAUUGUAGAGGUGGAAUUGAUGUUGUUAAUAUCAUUUUCAUGGAGGUUUUCAUAUGAGCAUUGUGCAUACCUCAAUGUCAUGUGAAUGUGAAUGUGAAUGUAGGAAUUCAUAUGUUCAUUGUGCAUAGAUUAAUAUAUGUGUUUGAUUUUUGUUAAUCAUCUUUGGACUUGAUUGCGUCUUCCAACCACUGAGCUUCUUCACGACAAUUAUCGAACUGGCAACGAAGGAAGUUUGAAGAUUUUAAGCCAAAAUGCAGGUUUUCAAGAAUUUCUUUGCUGCUGUUGUUUUACUAGUAGUGGUGAGUGUUACAAAUGCUCAAAAAGCUAAAUCUCCACCAGCACCACCAUUAGCACCAGGUCCAGCGCCAGACUACUAGUAGGAGGUCUUCUUCUGUUUUGCUUGAAUUGAUCUUUGGAUUCCGUCUAUCUGCAAUCCUAUCACGAUCGAAUCUAGACCACACUAUGCUCUGGUAUGGAACUCAGAGUCGGCCGAAACUUGUGCUUUCUAUACCGAUGAUGCUUCCUCCUAAUUCUGCGGCUCAGUGUUUCAUCUCCGUCCUUGGAAAUUCUUUGGCUCAGUGUUUCAUCGUCGUCCUUUGGGAUAACAUGUUCAUCCCCUGGUAUGGCACUCAGAGUUGGCAGAUAUUUGUGUUUUAUCUGCCGAAUCUUCCUCCUAAUUCUCUGGCUCAGUGUUUCAUCUUUUUCUUUGGGAAUAACAGAUUCAUCCCCUGAAUUACUAGUUUUAAACCUUCGUAGAACAUUUAGUUCCGUAAUCACAUUUAUUGCCGUCUUUUUUAA